UUACCUUUGAACGUGAAACCUUUGAUUUUUUAUUUUAUUUUAUUUUAUUUUUUUGCAUAAGUUGUUAUUGAUAUGAUGUUAUAUUUCUACUUUACUUUUUUGAUUGAUAUUAUGCAUUAUUGUUGUGGAAUGAGUAUUACCAUAAUCGCUGCAUUUUAACGCUCUCUUGCGAUUGUUUGAGUUGUAUUUGUUGAUUUUGUUUCUUAUCAGCCUGUGUUGCGUGUUGCAUAUUGACGUUCAAGAUAAUCGCGUCGUAUUGUGCUUUAUCUUGUAUGCUUUUCAAUUUAGAUGGCUAUGACCAUUAUUCUUAAGAAAGAUAACAAAGUUAUAUGCUCCACGAAGUGCCUAGACCCGCCGAUUAGGCUGCCAAAAGAUUUGAGCAUCGCUUCUGUAGUUUCAACAGAGAAGGUAUCUAGUCUUUCUAGAUUGCCACGAUUUUCACUAACUCCGGCACCAGAUAAUUCACAGGAAAAGGGUGAAUGGGGUAGAUUUUUGGAUUUCCUGCACGAAUAUAAUAGGGUAUGAUGCUUUUUAUUUUCAUCCCUAAAAAAUCCUUUUUAUUUACUCAGCCCGUGUUUUUGUUUCUGAUCUAUAGCAAAUUUAUGCUUGUGAUGAAUUUGUGUAAUUAUGUUGGUUGCUAAAUUGCUAUGAUUCUAAGCAUGUUUUGGAGGAAAUAUUAAUUUCUUUAAAUUUAAUUGUAACUCAAUUAUAUAU